UUCUUGCUUGCUCCUUUGUGA
rnacentral:misc_RNA from 1 species